GUGCCAGCGCCGCGGUAAUACCGGCAGCCCAAAUGAUGGCCGCUGUUAUUGGGCCUAAAGCGUCCGUAGCUGGCCGCACAAGUCCGUCGGGAAAUCCACCCGCCCAACGGGUGGCCGUCCGGUGGAAACUACACGGCUUGGGACCGGAAGGCGCGACGGGUACGUCCGGGGUAGGAGUGAAGUCCCGUAAUCCUGGACGGACCACCGAUGGCGAAAGCACGUCGCGAGAACGGAUCCGACAGUGAGGGACGAAAGCUAGGGUCUCGAACCGGAUUAGAAACCCCAGUAGUCC
rnacentral:rRNA from 1 species